rnacentral:tRNA from 1 species
GGUUUUGAAUGGAAUGCGGAUAGUGCUAGAUUUUAGAUCUGUUGCACAGUUUAUGCACUGUGUUUUUAAGGU